rnacentral:rRNA from 1 species
GCGUACCCAUCCCGAACACGACCGUUAAGCCCUCCAGCGCCGAUGGUACUUGGACCGAAGGGUCCCGGGAGAGUAGGACGCCGCCAAGC